rnacentral:rRNA from 1 species
UACGUAGGGGGCAAGCGUUGUCCGGAUUUAUUGGGCGUAAAGAGCUCGUAGGUGGUUCGGUAAGUCGGAUGUGAAAUCGUCCAGGCUCAACCUGGAGGGGUCAUUCGAUACUGCCGUGACUAGAGGUCGGUAGGGGAGUGUGGAAUUCCUGGUGGAGCGGUGAAAUGCGCAGAUAGUCAGGAGGAACACCCGUAGCGAAGGCGGCACUCUGGGCCGAUACUGACACUGAGGAGCGAAAGCGUGGGGAGCGAACAGG